rnacentral:rRNA from 1 species
ACUGGUUAAGGAACUCGGCAAAUUGACACCGUAACUUCGGGAGAAGGUGUGCCCUUUGUUGUGAAGGCUGUACGGCUGGAGCGACGGGGGGUUGCAGAGAAACGGGGGUUGCGACUGUUUACUAAAAACACAGGACUCUGCGAACACGCAAGUGGACGUAUAGGGUCUGACGCCUGCCCGGUGCUGGAAGGUUAAGGGGAGUUGUCAGCGAAAGCGAAGCAGCGAACCGAAGCCCCAGUAAACGGCGGCCGUAACGAUAACGGUCCUAAGGUAGCGAAAUUCCUUGUCGGGUAAGUUCCGACCUGCACGAAUGGCGUAACGACAUCCCCACUGUCUCAACCAGUGACUCAGCGAAAUUGUAAUCGCGGCGAAGAUACCGUGUACCCGCGGCAAGACGGAAAGACCCCAUGAACCUUUACUGCAACUUGACAGUGAAGCUCGGGACAGAUUGCGUAGGAUAGGUGGGAGGCUGUGAAGUCGGGAUUCUGGUCUCGGCGGAGCCAACGUUGAAAUACCACCCUGUUUGUUCUGGGCUUCUAACCCAGGCCUCUAAGCGAGGUCGGGGACACUGUCUGGUGGGCAGUUUGACUGGGGCGGUCGCCUCCUAAAAAGUAACGGAGGCGCGCGAAGGUUCCCUCAGGCUGAUUGGAAACCAGCCGUAGAGUGUAAUGGCACAAGGGAGCUUGACUGUGAGACCGACAGGUCGAGCAGGUGCGAAAGCAGGUCAUAGUGAUCCGGCAGUUCUGCAUGGAAGGGCUGUCGCUCAUCGGACAAAAGGUACUCUGGGGAUAACAGGCUGAUCGCGCCUGAGAGUUCAUAUCGGCGGCGCGGUUUGGCACCUCGAUGUCGGCUCAUCGCAUCCUGGGGCUGGAGCAGGUCCCAAGGGUUUGGCUGUUCGCCAAUUAAAGCGGUACGCGAGCUGGGUUUAGAACGUCGUGAGACAGUUCGGUCCCUAUCUGCCGUGGGCGGAGGAUACUUGAGAGGGUCUAACCAUAGUACGAGAGGACCUGGUUGGACGUACCUCUGGUGAUCCGGUUGUUCCGCCGGGAGCAUCGCCGGGUAGCUAUGUACGGAACGGAUAACCACUGAAAGCAUCUAAGUGGGAAGCCGGCCUCAAGAUGAGGUAUCCCGGGGCGUAAGCCCCCUGAAGGCCCCUCGAAGACUACGAGGUAAUAGGCUGGGUGUGGAAGCGCAGUAAUGCGUGGAGCUAACCAGUACUAAUCGGCCGUGAGGCUUGACCUA